GAGACUGCAAGACUUGAGAUCGGGUGAGGUUAAACGUACUUUCAGGGAUAGGGGUAAAAUCCUGUAAUCCCGGAAGGACGACCAGUGGCGAAAGCGUUUAACUAGAACGAAUCUGACGGUAAGGAACGAAGGCUAGGGUAGCAAACCGGAUUAGAUACCCGGGUAGUCCUAGCUGUAAACAUUGCCCAUUUGAUGUUGCUUUCCCGUAGAGGGAAGGCAGUGACGGAGCGAAGGUGUUAAAUGGGCCGCUUGGGAAGUAUGGUCGCAAGACUGAAACUUAAAGGAAUUGGCGGGGGAGCACCGCAACGGGAGGAAUGUGCGGUUUAAUUGGAUUCAACGCCGGAAAACUCACCGGGAACGACCUGUGCAUGAGAGUCAACUUGACGAGCUUACUCGAUAGCAGGAGAGGUGGUGCAUGGCCGUCGUCAGCUCGUACCGUAGGGCGUUCACUUAAGUGUGAUAACGAGCGAGACCCACAUCUUUAAUUGCAAAUGUAUAUGGGAAUAUGCAUGCACUUUAGAGAAACCGCCAGCGCUAAGCUGGAGGAAGGAGUGGUCGACGGCAGGUCAGUACGCCCCGAAUUUCCCGGGCUACACGCGCAUUACAAAGAACGGGACAAUACGUUGCAACCUCGAAAGAGGGAGCCAAUCGCGAAACCCGUCCAUAGUUA
rnacentral:rRNA from 1 species